GGGGUUGUGGGGUAGCUUGGACCAUCCUGCGGCGUUCGGGACGCCGUGACCUGAGUUCGAAUCUCAGCAACCCCA
rnacentral:tRNA from 1 species